UACGACGUUGAUAGGCUGGGUGUGUAAGCGCAGCAAUGCGUUCAGCUAACCAGUACUAAUUGCCCGUGAGGCUUGACCAU
rnacentral:rRNA from 1 species